CCGUAGUUGAUGCAUCACUCAAAACAUCUAUUUGUAGACUUUGUUGAAUUGAAGGCGGUUUAAAUAUUGGCCUCCAUUUUACAAGUGGACCUCCUAUGCAGAAGGUGGGAGGUGUUGUGUCCCCAGGUGAUUUAAAACUGAGACCUAACUGUGUUCAUAACCAGACCAGGAAUCAAUGGCUGGAGGAGCUGGUGGAGGACGACCAGGGCUCUACCAACAAGGAUUCCUGGACGCUGAUGGAAUCCUGUUUGGUCCGGGGCAGACCAGCCUAAGCUGAGCCCACCUGAUCCUGUUUGGUCCGGGGCAGACCAGCCUGAGCUGAGCCCACCUGAUCCUGUUUGGUCCGGGGCAGAGCUGAAGCCCACCUGAUGCUCACAUCCUGCUGGUCCCGUCUCCUCAUCUCAUCUGAGCCUCGUCCUCAAGAACUGCUGAGCUCCUUCAAGUCUGCACUCUGAGGCUGAUGGAUGAAUGAACUCAUUAACCUUUUUAACACCACAUGUACCCGUGUGCUUCCACACGCCUUUCCCACACGUCUGUCACUUACUCACCUCACUAACUAACCUCACAACUUCACUUUCCUCUCUACUCCUUCCCGUUGCUCCUCCUUCUCCAGGGUUCGAACCUUUACUCUGAAGGAGUGUCUUCUUGAGCCUUUACUCUGAAGGAGUGUCUUUUUGCCCUCAAAGUGUUCAGUGUUAGGGUUCAGAGUCAGGGUUUAGAGUCAGGGACAGAGCUGGUACGGGAGGACUGGCUUUACUCAUACCUCUUCCCUUCUGAAUGAUUUAAACAUUUUGAAAAUAUUUAUAGGGAAAAUGUUUGUACAAAAUCUGUAUGAAGGUUCUGGCAAUGGUUUUUGUGAAUUAAAUCCUUUUUCACUUUUCCCGCAUAUUUGGGGUAGUUAUUUAUUCGGUCAUUUAAUUUGGCUGAUCUCAAACUAAACUCCUGUAAUAGAAUAAUUUGCAUGAUGUAUAUUCAAUGUUCACAUAAUCCUCAUAUUAAUACAUUAUCGAACUUCCAUAUUGCUAAUAAAGGUCAAGUCUUAAUUACCGCUACUACAAA